AAGGCUUUAGCUUAAUUAAAGUGUCUGUUUUGCAUACAGAAAAUGUGGGUUAGUGUCCUGCAAGUCUUA
rnacentral:tRNA from 1 species